GACGAACGCUGGCGGCGUGCUUAACACAUGCAAGUCGAACGGAAAGGCCCCUUUGGGGGUACUCGAGUGGCGAACGGGUGAGUAACACGUGAGUAACCUGCCCUUGACUUCGGGAUAACUUCAGGAAACUGGGGCUAAUACCGGAUAGGAAUCCUUGCUGCAUGGUGGGGGUUGGAAAGCUUCGGCGGUUUUGGAUGGACUCGCGGCUUAUCAGCUUGUUGGUGGGGUAGUGGCUUACCAAGGCUUUGACGGGUAGCCGGCCUGAGAGGGCGACCGGCCACAGUGGGACUGAGAGACGGCCCAGACUCCUACGGGAGGCAGCAGUGGGGAAUAUUGCACAAGGGGCGGAAGCCUGAUGCAGCAACGCCGCGUGCGGGAUGACGGCCUUCGGGUUGUAAACCGCUUUCAGCAGGGGCGAAGCUUGUGGUGACGGUACCUGCAGAAGAAGCACCGGCUAACUACGUG
rnacentral:rRNA from 1 species